rnacentral:rRNA from 1 species
UGCUUGUCUCAAAGAUUAAGCCAUGCAUGUCUAAGCAGAGCCCUUGAAUGGUAAAGCCGCGAAUGGCUCAUUACAACAGCCACAGAACAGUGGGUCUCCAUUUACUAGGAUAACUGAGCUAAUUGUUGAGCUAAUACACGCACCAAAGCUUCGACCUCACGGGAGGAGCGCAUUUAUUAGAACAAAACCAAUCGGACUUCGGUCCGUCCAUUGGUGAAUCUAAAUAACUUAGCCGAUCGCAUGGUCUCGCACCGGCGACUCACCUUUCAAAUGUCUGCCUUAUCACCUUUCGAUGGUAGUUUAUACGCCUACCAUGGGUUUUACGGGUAACGGAGAAUAAGGGUUCGACUCCGGAGAGGGAGCCUGAGAAACGGCUACCACAUCCRAGGAAGGCAGCAGGCA